rnacentral:lncRNA from 1 species
UUUUGAAGACAAGAGAAAAGAAAAGGAAAGAUAAUAUUGAAAAGAGGCGAAUCCCAUUCCCAUCCCCCACCCAUCUCUCUCCAUGACCAUUACCAGGAGGAGCAGGACGACGCCAUGGAAGGGUCACCAACAACUCCGGUCUUCUCCAUGGACAUGGAGGUCCUCCGCUGCACUCCCUGAUGCAUCAAGCGCGCAGGCAUACAAGGAGGCUCUGCUUCUUCCCAGGUCGCCAUGGAAGGUAUGCUCUGCUCUGCUUGUCAACGCCCAUCUAUCCGUGUUUGCUUGCUGCUGCAACUUGUAUUCGGACGGAGCUAGACAAAACUGCAAAAAUCACAUACUUUUACUUCCUUUUUCAGAAAAAACUAACAAGUCUGCAGAUUAUUCUUCAGGUUGAUACUAAAUUGGCAAUGUUGCUGUUCCGACCCCGCUGCCGCUGCGGACGCCAUGGAGCCCGUCCAG